AUACGGAGGAUCCGAGCGUUAUCCGGAUUUUUUGGGUUUCACGGGUGCGUCGGCGGACGCUUACGUCAGUUGUGAAAGUUUGCGGCUCAACCGUAAAAUUGCAGUUGAUACUGGGUGUCUUGAGUACAGUAGAGGCAGGCGGAAUUCGUGGUGUAGCGGUGAAAUGCUUAGAUAUCACGAAGAACUCCGAUUGCGAAGGCAGCCUGCUGGACUGUAACUGACGCUGAUGCUCGAAAGUGUGUGUAUCAAACAGGAUUAGAUACCCUGGUAGUCCGCACAGUAAACGAUGAAUACUCGCUGUUUGCGAUACACUGUAAGCGGCCAAGCGAAGGCGUUAAGUAUUCCACCUGGGGAGUACGCCGGCAACGGUGAAACUCAAAGGAAUUGACGGGG
rnacentral:rRNA from 1 species